GAGUUUGAUCCUGGCUCAGAUUGAACGCUGGCGGUAUGCUUAACACAUGCAAGUCGAACGGUAACAGGCCUUCGGGCGCUGACGAGUGGCGGACGGGUGAGUAACGCGUAGGAAUCUGCCUCAUAGUGGGGGACAACGUGGGGAAACUCACGCUAAUACCGCAUACGCCCUACGGGGGAAAGGAGGGGAUCUUCGGACCUUUCGCUAUGAGAUGAGCCUGCGUUAGAUUAGCUAGUUGGUAGGGUAAAGGCCUACCAAGGCGACGAUCUAUAGCUGGUCUGAGAGGACGAUCAGCCACACUGGGAUUGAGACACGGCCCAGACUCCUACGGGAGGCAGCAGUGGGGAAUAUUGGACAAUGGGCGAAAGCCUGAUCCAGCAAUACCGCGUGUGUGAAGAAGGCCUUAGGGUUGUAAAGCACUUUCAAUUGGAAGGAAAAACUCAUGGCCAAUACCCAUGAGCUUGACAUUACCUUUAGAAGAAGCACCGGCUAACUCCGUGCCAGCAGCCGCGGUAAUACGGAGGGUGCGAGCGUUAAUCGGAAUUACUGGGCGUAAAGCGUGCGUAGGCGGCUCGUUAAGUCAGAUGUGAAAGCCCUGGGCUCAACCUGGGAACGGCAUUUGAAACUGGCGAGCUAGAGUUUGGGAGAGGAGAGUGGAAUUUCAGGUGUAGCGGUGAAAUGCGUAGAGAUCUGAAGGAACACCAGUGGCGAAGGCGACUCUCUGGCCUAAAACUGACGCUGAGGUACGAAAGCGUGGGUAGCAAACAGGAUUAGAUACCCUGGUAAUCCACGCCGUAAACGAUGUCAACUAGCCGUUGGCUCUCUUAGAGAGUUAGUGGCGCAGCUAACGCAUUAAGUUGACCGCCUGGGGAGUACGGCCGCAAGGUUAAAACUCAAAUGAAUUGACGGGGGCCCGCACAAGC
rnacentral:rRNA from 1 species